UACGUAGGGGGCGAGCGUUGUCCGGAGUUAUUGGGCGUAAAGCGCGCGCAGGCGGUCUAGCCAGUCUGGAGUGACAGUUCCCGGCUCACCUGGGAAAGGUCUUCGGAAACUGCUAGACUUGAGGGACUCAGAGGGAGACGGAAUUCCAGGUGGAGCGGUGAAAUGCGUAGAUAUCUGGAGGAAUACCGGUGGCGAAGGCGGCAUCCUGGACCGGCAGUUGACGCUGAGGAGCGAAAGCCAGGGGAGCAAGCGGGGAUUAAG
rnacentral:rRNA from 1 species